rnacentral:rRNA from 1 species
GAUGAACGCUGGCGGCGUGCCUAAUACAUGCAAGUCGAGCGAACGGACGAGAAGCUUGCUUCUCUGAUGUUAGCGGCGGACGGGUGAGUAACACGUGGAUAACCUACCUAUAAGACUGGGAUAACUUCGGGAAACCGUAGCUAAUACCGGAUAUUAUUUUGAACCGCAUGGUUCAAAAGUGAAAGACGGUCUUGCUGUCACUUAUAGAUGGAUCCGCGCUGCAUUAGCUAGUUGGUAAGGUAACGGCUUACCAAGGCAACGAUGCAUAGCCGACCUGAGAGGGUGAUCGGCCACACUGGAACUGAGACACGGUCCAGACUCCUACGGGAGGCAGCAGUAGGGAAUCUUCCGCAAUGGGCGGAAGCCUGACGGAGCAACGCCGCGUGAGUGAUGAAGGUCUUCGGAUCGUAAAACUCUGUUAUUAGGGAAGAACAUAUGUGUAAGUAACUGUGCACAUCUUGACGGUACCUAAUCAGAAAGCCACGGCUAACUACGUG